AGGGUUUAAAAUUUCGGUGGUAAACCGGCGAAAUUUCGGUGAAAAUUUCGUUUUCGGUAAUUACCGGUAUUUGGUUUACCGCUGUUUUUCGGUAUAUUUCGUUUCGAAUUUUGAAAUUUUAAAAUAAUUUAUAAAUAACCAUUAAAAAAUCUACAAAAAUUAUGAUAAAAAACUAGGGAUUUUUAUUAGCUUAUAGCACUUGAAAUCAUUCAAAUCUAAGUUGAUUUGGUAGGUCAAAUUGAUGAUUUGAGUUCGAACCCGUUACAGACCAUAUGGAGUUCCUUAUGGUCAGGGGUACGGACAGCCUACGUACCCAUAUUUGCCAGAAACAAGUGAGCCGUAUGAGGGACCAUCGGGAGAGAGAUUUAAUGACUGAAGAACGCAGAGACUAUGCAUUUGCUACAUGGAUUAUGGAUGGACAAUACUUUCGAUUACAAUGGAUGCAAUAUGUUGUAUUAAACAGACUACAGACUUAAUUGUAAUAAUUUUAGUAGACUUUGCACUUGUGACUAAGUACGGGUGAACUUUAGACAUGAAUUAUGUGUUUCGUGUUUGUAUUUCUCAUUGUGUGCUGAAGUUUAUUAUAUGUUGUGUAUUAUAAUCUAUCAAUAUAGACAUAAUUACGGCAAACUC